rnacentral:rRNA from 1 species
UACGGAGGGUGCAAGCGUUGUCCGGAUUUAUUGGGUUUAAAGGGUGCGUAGGCGGUCUGGUAAGUCGGCGGUGAAAGCCCGGGGCUCAACCCCGGAACUGCCAUCGAUACUGUCAGACUUGAGUGUGGUUGAGGGUGGCGGAAUGGGCGGUGUAGCGGUGAAAUGCGUAGAUAUCAGGAGGAACACCUGCGGUGUAGACGGCUUACUGGACCAUAACUGACGCUGAGGCACGAAAGCGUGGGUAGCAAACAGG